AUGAAUGUGCAAGGAAAGAUACUAGCCAGUGAAGUCAAUGAACAAGAAGAAAGACAGAACGACGACCAGCUGCCUUUGAUAGAAACAGUGGAAGACGCCAAUGCCAAUCAAAUCACCAAAGAGAAUAUUUAUUCAGAUGACAGAGAGCAUGGCAGCCCACUACCCUCUCUGGUGUCGCACUCCGAAGCCCAGGAGAGGAUCAUUAUCUGGGGAACACAUGCUCGGUGUGAAGACCCUGAGCUUGAAGAGUUUGAACUGCUGGAGUGUCAAGAGCUAGAAACAUUUGUAGUGGAAGAAGAAGAACAGGUAGACAUGCAGAGUGAAAGAAGCAGGAAGGGAGCAAAGCACUUCAGUGACAAAGAGUUUUCAUCUACAGCCAUCAGCACCACUGUUGGCUCCCCUUGGAAAGACCACAAUGAAAACCAUAAUGUGGAUGGAGAUGCAAAUGAGAACUCUCAGCCCCUUGACCUCAGGACCUCCAGCUCUCGCUCUGGUGUGAACCGGACCCUGAGAGAUGCACGAAGUGGUUCUGAGAGCAAUGUCUUUUCAUCUUCUCUUUCUGCAGUGACCAGCCUCAGUGGAAGUUUAGCCAGUGCCCUGGACAGUGCAGGCCGCACACAGCCUCUCUCUUCCCAGUCCACCAAGUCUACCUCAGACAAAGGCAGGAACCAGCAUCCAGCUACUACCGAGUCCUACAUCCACUCAGAGAGAAACAGGGAGCUUCCCAGGGAUAUGGACCAAAACCAUAACUCUACCACACUGCCUCAGGAACCACAAUAUGACCGAAGUAAGCUAAUGCAUCCUUCAUAUGGAGCGGUAAAACUGCAAAAAUUCCAAAUGGAAACAGAGCAGAAUGCUGGGAAAAGGAUGUCAACCGAGGUGCCGAAAGGUAUGGUGAGGGUGCUACCUUCUUGUAGGCAGCUAGUCCGCCCUCUUUCUACUGAAAAACGACUAACCUCAGGAUACCCCAGCAUAGACACCCAGGCAGACCAGCAACAAUCCCACUCCUCAGAGACAGGUCAGAGCCAUCCCCAAGUGCUGCCUACUACAGAAGUCAACAGCAAUCCCAAUGCAGACUCACAGACACCUCCCAACCAGGCUUUUACACGAGAAGCCCAACGCUUGAAGAGGCAAAGUUCAGCAGAUCGUGCUGCAAGUCCCUCCAGCCUAGAAAGGAAGACUCACUUCAGCAGGCGAGCCUACAGCAGUCCGACUAGACCUUCGACACCUCCAUCCCCCAAGACCACAAAAUCUCCCCAAAGACAGCCUCCUUCCUCACCCAUCAAGACUUUACCUUCUCGAUGUCCUCAGUUGGGUUAUGCUGGCUAUAGCUCAGGCUUAAGAGCCCCAGUUAAAACCACAGUCAACACAAGCAUCCAUAAAACUCCUCCACAGCAGACAUUAAUGGAGACCUCCCCUCCAAGUAAGUGCCUGCCAAAACCUAAAAGUGUCCGGCCCAAAAUCAUUACAUACAUUCGGAAGACUCCCCAGGCGAAACCCCAGUCUUUUGAAGGAACAUACGACGUGCCAUCCUUACCUACGAGACUCUCAACAUACAGCAGCACACAGGCCAAACCAGCGGUCGGAGAUCAAGGGGAAGCCACUGUGCUAAGUGCCUCAAAUUUACUCUAUGAUAAGUAUCGUCAAGAGAUGCAGAAGGUCCGGUUCUUCUCACCUGGACUCAUGGUGUCUGGGAUUAAGCCACCCAGCAACACCAUGCCCCAUAAAAUGACAGGCAGAGCAGACAGCUUCUAUGGGUCUCUCAGCAAGCCUCUGUCUGCAGCGGUAAGGAAUGCUCUAGACAAUUUGCUGUUCUCUGUUUAA
ensembl:lncRNA